rnacentral:rRNA from 2 species
CUGAUUGAUGGUGCUUGCACCUGAUUGACGAUGGAUCACCAGUGAGUGGCGGACGGGUGAGUAACACGUAGGUAACCUGCCCCGGAGCGGGGGAUAACAUUUGGAAACAGAUGCUAAUACCGCAUAACAACAAAAGCUGCAUGGCUUUUGUUUGAAAGAUGGCUUUGGCUAUCACUCUGGGAUGGACCUGCGGUGCAUUAGCUAGUUGGUAAGGUAACGGCUUACCAAGGCGAUGAUGCAUAGCCGAGUUGAGAGACUGAUCGGCCACAAUGGAACUGAGACACGGUCCAUACUCCUACGGGAGGCAGCAGUAGGGAAUCUUCCACAAUGGGCGCAAGCCUGAUGGAGCAACACCGCGUGAGUGAAGAAGGGUUUCGGCUCGUAAAGCUCUGUUGUUGGAGAAGAACGUGCGUGAGAGUAACUGUUCACGCAGUGACGGUAUCCAACCAGAAAGUCACGGCUAACUACGUGCCAGCAGCCGCGGUAAUACGUAGGUGGCAAGCGUUAUCCGGAUUUAUUGGGCGUAAAGCGAGCGCAGGCGGUUGCUUAGGUCUGAUGUGAAAGCCUUCGGCUUAACCGAAGAAGUGCAUCGGAAACCGGGCGACUUGAGUGCAGAAGAGGACAGUGGAACUCCAUGUGUAGCGGUGGAAUGCGUAGAUAUAUGGAAGAACACCAGUGGCGAAGGCGGCUGUCUGGUCUGCAACUGACGCUGAGGCUCGAAAGCAUGGGUAGCGA